rnacentral:misc_RNA from 1 species
GAUGAAGAACGUAGCGAAAUGCGAUAAGUAAUGUGAAUUGCAGAAUUCAGUGAAUCAUCGAAUCUUUGAACGCACCUUGCGCUCCUUGGUAUUCCGAGGAGCAUGCCUGUUUGAGUGUCAUUAAAUUCUCAACCUCACCCGUUUUCUGAACGGGGUCGAGGCUUGGAUGUGGGGGUUUGUGCAGGCUGCCUCACUGGCGGUCUGCUCCCCUGAAAUGCAUUAGCGAGGUUCGUGCUGAACUUCCGUCUAUUGGUGUGAUAAUUAUCUACGCCGUGGACGAGGAUCAGACUCGCUUCUAACCGUCCGCGAGGACAAUACCUUGACAAUUUGACCUCAAAUCAGGUAGGACUACCCGCUGAACUUAAGCAUAUCAAUAAGCGGAGGA